AGUUUUGUCAGCAAGAGUCGUUAUGGUCUCACCCCUAUCAAUAACCUGAAAGAUAAAGUUAGGUUCAACAGAGCAUGAAGCUGAAUAGGGUUUGAGACAUGCGAUUCACAUUUUAUUAAAUGCAUAUACAGGUAAGAAAUGGCAUCAUUUGAAAGCUGGUAUGGAAGAUCAAAGCAUAUAUUUCAAGAGAAUGACCCCCUCAAAGAACAUAAACUUGGGCCAGAUUAAACACAAACAUAAAUAACAAUGUGCCUUAUCC
rnacentral:lncRNA from 1 species